ACCGAUCGAGCACCCCAUGAAUGAAAUAAAAGCAACAAAGAAUUAAGCCAUGAGUAGUCCUCUCGUGUUGCUUCGGCUUCUCUUCAUCGUCUUGUUUUGGCCAGCGGUGGCAGAAUCAACGUUGGCACUAACAAAGUCUAAUUGCUCUGAUAGAUGUGGUGAUAUCCAUGUUCCUCACCCCUUUGGCUUCGGAUCAAAAGAGUGUUACAGAAAUACGGAUUUUAAGCUAACCUGCAACUACAGCAACAACCCUCCAAAACUAAUCGCAGGUAAGAACGUGGAAAUUCUAGAUGUUUCACUCCAAGGACAAGUAAGGAUACUUUCUCCUAUAAGUAACGAUUGCUACAAGAAGUUGGGUCAACGGAUUUCUCGGAUGACAACUUUUGCGACAACGGAGGACCAAACCAUUUUCACCGUAUCUGAUACAGAGAAUAAAUUCACAGCUCUGGGUUGUGACACCAUAUCUAUGAUCAAGGGUUUCAAUGGCCGGAUCUUACAGAGUGGUUGUAGCAUGAGUUGCAGCAACGUAUCUAAUGUGAUCAAUGGUUCCUGCACGGGCAUAGCUUGUUGCCAGAUCUCAAUUCCAAAGGGCAUCGGAAGCUUUAAUGUAUCUGUUGAUAGCUAUGAAAAUCACACCCGCGUCUUUGAUUUCAAUCCCUGCAGCUACGCUUUCGUCGUUCAAAAUAGCUGGUUCAACUUCUCAGUCUCGGAUCUCUCCAAUUUCACAGGUAUUAAGGGAUAUGUACCUGUCGUGUACGAUUGGGCAGUAGAUCUUAAGUCUUGUGAAGAAGCUGUGAAAAACCAGACUACUUAAGCGUGCAAAAAUAGUAAAUGUGUCACCUCCAAGAAUGGUAUUGGCUACAGCUGCAUUUGUUCCCAAGGCUAUGAAGGGAACCCUUACCUUCUUGACGGAUGCCAAGAGGUGGAUGAAUGUAAACUCAGUAAUAAUAAUUGCUCUAAGAAUGCUAAAUGCAAAAACACUCCUGGGAGUUAUGUGGCGACGAUUUUGAAAAUGGGACUCAUUGUGUUGCUUAUUGCAGGUGAGAGGACUGCUGGUUUAGAUUUUCUUCUGUAGAGGUACUUAGUCCGUAGACCAAGGAGUCUAGGAAUGUUAGUUUAGAUUUUCUAUACUAGUCAGUUUCUUUUGAAUCUAUCGUUAUCUUAUUGUGUGAUUAAUCAAAGUUAGAAUUAAUCAUAAUUUGGAAGAUUUGGGAUUUAGUCUUA